UCCCUGAUGGUCUAGUGGUCAGGAUUCGGCGUACUCACCGCCGUGGCCCGGGUUUGAUUCCCGGUCAGGGAA
rnacentral:tRNA from 1 species